rnacentral:rRNA from 1 species
GAUGAACGCUGGCGGCGUGCCUAAUACAUGCAAGUCGAGCGAACAGACAAGGAGCUUGCUCCUUUGACGUUAGCGGCGGACGGGUGAGUAACACGUGGGUAACCUACCUAUAAGACUGGGAUAACUUCGGGAAACCGGAGCUAAUACCGGAUAAUAUUUCGAACCGCAUGGUUCGAUAGUGAAAGAUGGUUUUGCUAUCACUUGUAGAUGGACCCGCGCCGUAUUAGCUAGUUGGUAAGGUAACGGCUUACCAAGGCGACGAUACGUAGCCGACCUGAGAGGGUGAUCGGCCACACUGGAACUGAGACACGGUCCAGACUCCUACGGGAGGCAGCAGUAGGGAAUCUUCCGCAAUGGGCGAAAGCCUGACGGAGCAACGCCGCGUGAGUGAUGAAGGUCUUCGGAUCGUAAAACUCUGUUAUUAGGGAAGAACAUACGUGUAAGUAACUAUGCACGUCUUGACGGUACCUAAUCAGAAAGCCACGGCUAACUACGUGCCAGCAGCCGCGGUAAUACGUAGGUGGCAAGCGUUAUCCGGAAUUAUUGGGCGUAAAGCGCGCGUAGGCGGUUUUUUAAGUCUGAUGUGAAAGCCCACGGCUCAACCGUGGAGGGUCAUUGGAAACUGUAAAACUUGAGUGCAGAAGAGGAAAGUGGAAUUCCAUGUGUAGCGGUGAAAUGCGCAGAGAUAUGGAGGAACACCAGUGGCGAAGGCGACUUUCUGGUCUGUAACUGACGCUGAUGUGCGAAAGCGUGGGGAUCAAACAGGAUUAGAUACCCUGGUAGUCCACGCCGUAAACGAUGAGUGCUAAGUGUUAGGGGGUUUCCGCCCCUUAGUGCUGCAGCUAACGCAUUAAGCACUCCGCCUGGGGAGUACGACCGCAAGGUUGAAACUCAAAGGAAUUGACGGGGACCCGCACAAGCGGUGGAGCAUGUGGUUUAAUUCGAAGCAACGCGAAGAACCUUACCAAAUCUUGACAUCCUUUGACAACUCUAGAGAUAGAGCCUUCCCCUUCGGGGGACAAAGUGACAGGUGGUGCAUGGUUGUCGUCAGCUCGUGUCGUGAGAUGUUGGGUUAAGUCCCGCAACGAGCGCAACCCUUAAGCUUAGUUGCCAUCAUUAAGUUGGGCACUCUAAGUUGACUGCCGGUGACAAACCGGAGGAAGGUGGGGAUGACGUCAAAUCAUCAUGCCCCUUAUGAUUUGGGCUACACACGUGCUACAAUGGACAAUACAAAGGGCAGCGAAACCGCGAGGUCAAGCAAAUCCCAUAAAGUUGUUCUCAGUUCGGAUUGUAGUCUGCAACUCGACUACAUGAAGCUGGAAUCGCUAGUAAUCGUAGAUCAGCAUGCUACGGUGAAUACGUUCCCGGGUCU